rfam:Fragilariopsis cylindrus CCMP1102 unplaced genomic scaffold FRACYscaffold_38, whole genome shotgun sequence.
UCUCUUAUAGUGAAGUGGUUAUCACUCUUGACUUUGAAUCAAGCAUCCGGCGUUCGAAUCGCCGUAAGAGAA